AUCCUGGCCUUAUUAUUGAUGAUUCCUCAACUUACACAUGCGAGUCUCAGCACACCCGUGAGUAACGCCCCUAUUACAUCUCUUGCCAUAAGGAGCUGGUGUCAGGCACAACCAAUUGCCCACAAUACCUAGUCCUACCACGCCCCCAAGGGUAUUCAGCAGUGAUAAAUCUUGAAUAUAAGCGAAAGCUUGAUUCAGUCAGAGGAAAGAGAGCUGGCCAACUUAGUGCCAGCUGCCGCGGCUACACUAGGGGCUCAAGUUAAUAAUUAUCGGCGUUAAGCGUGACUAAAGUCUAAACAAACUAGGGUUAAAUUAAUACUUAGUAGUGAUAAGCUUGUUAUUAAGAAAAACAUAAACGAAAGUUACCCUAUUUAUUAUGCUUAAAUACACGACAGCUAAGAACACAAACUGGGAUUAGAUACCCCACUAUGCCUAGCCGUAAAUAAUCAACUUACACCAACCAACGCCAGGGGACUACGAGCAACGCUUAAAACCCAAAGGACUUGACGGUGUCCCACCCAACUAGAGGAGCCUGUUCUAGAAUCGAUGAUCCCCGCUAUACCCCACCACUCCUAGCUUUUUCAGCCUGUAUACCUCCGUCGAAAGUUUACCAUGUGAAUGUCAUCAGUAGACUCAAUGACCCACCCCGUCAAUAUGUCAGGUCAAGGUGCAGCCCAAGGAAUGGGAAGCAAUGGGCUACAAUUUCUAAAAUAGAACACACGAAAGCCUCUGUGAAACCACAGGCAUGAAGGCGGAUUUAGCAGUAAAAAGAAAACAGAGAGUUCUUUUUAACCCGGCUCUGGGACGUGUACACACCGCCCGUCACCCUCUUCAACAAACCCAACUUUAUGUUUCUAACCCAUUUUUAUCUUUUAGAAGAGGUAAGUCGUAACACGGUAAGUAUACUGGAAAGUGUACUUAGAUCACUA
rnacentral:ncRNA from 1 species